AAAAACAUCACCUCUUGUAAAUGCCAAAUAAGAGGCCCCGCCUGCCCUGUGACUAUAUGUUUAACGGCCGCGGUAUCUUGACCGUGCAAAGGUAGCGCAAUCAAUUGUCUUUUAAAUGGAGACCUGUAUGAAUGGCGUAACGAGGGCUUGACUGUCUCCUUUUCUCAGUCAAUGAAAUUGAUCUCCCCGUGCAGAAGCGGGGCUAAACACAUAAGACGAGAAGACCCUGUGGAGCUUUAGACGCUGGGGCAAACUAAUGUUAAAUUAUCCUCUCAAAGGAUAAUAGCUAAAACCCCUGCCCUCAUGUCUUUGGUUGGGGCGACCAUGGAGUAAAGAGCAACCUCCACGUGGAAUAAGAGUACUACUCCCUAAAACUAGGGCUACCACCCCAUUUGUCAGAAUUUCUGGCCUUAUAGAUCCGGCUUACGCCGAUUAACGAAUUGAGUUACCCCAGGGAUAACAGCGCAAUCUCCUUUAAAAGACCAUAUCUAAAAGGGGGUUUACGACCUCGAUGUUGGAUCAGGACAUCCUAUUGGUGCAGCCGCUAUUAAGGGUUCGUUUGUUCAACGAUUAAAGUCCUACGUGAUCUG
rnacentral:rRNA from 1 species